rnacentral:rRNA from 1 species
GACAGAGGGUGCAAACGUUGUUCGGAAUUACUGGGCGUAAAGCGCGUGUAGGCGGCCAUCUAAGUCGGGCGUGAAAUCCCACGGCUCAACCGCGGAAGUGCACUCGAAACUGGAUGGCUAGAGUCCUGGAGAGGAAGGUGGAAUGCUUGGUGUAGAGGUGAAAUUCGUAGAUAUCAAGCGGAACACCGGUGGCGAAGGCGGCCUUCUGGACAGUGACUGACGCUGAGACGCGAAAGCGUGGGGAG